GAGCGGCGGUGGGCGGCUGACCCGAAAGGGAGGAAAGUCCCCCCACCGCUAAAAGGCGGAUCCCUGCAAGGGGAUACCCCGAGAGGGGUGGCAACGGCACAGAAACGACACCGGCUGGAGGAAAUGCGAGGAGGCCGAAAGGCUGAGGUCACUCCAGCCGGAUGAAACGCGCCGACCCCGCCGGUGCAAGGGCGUAAGCCCGCUAAGACUAAUGCCGCCUGAAACAAAAGGGGGCUUACUACCGCCACUC
rnacentral:RNase_P_RNA from 2 species